ensembl:lncRNA
CGUCGACAUGGCGAUGGUUAGACGACACAAACGGGAGAAAACCUGGUCUAGCAUGGACAUCACCAUUAAAGUAAUCUACUAGUUUCACAUGGUCAAUUACAACACCGGUCAAAAGCUUGGACAUACUUACUUGGAUAAUGUGGUGCCUUACAGGAUUGCAUGUCGUUUGCUACUUGCUAUCAGAGGCUGCAUCGUUGCUCAUUCACUCGAAGACCAGAGGCUGCCAUUAGUUGCUACACCCUUGAAAAUGUUUGCUCCCUCAGCUUUGGGGCCCAUGAAAGAGGUGGAGGCGCACAUGAAUGCAGAAAUGGACGGCCAAGGGUGGAGUGGAGCUAACAAGGUGUCCAUCUGGGAUUCAACAACUGUGAUGAAACUGGGGAUGGCAAAGGGGGAUGAAUCAUGUCGAGGAAACAUUGAUAACUGAGUGUGAACACGUCCCAACACGUUCGCUGACACAACGUGGCUGAGGCCAGACAAAGGCGGGAAUGAGGACCACCUGCAAUGGGAGACGAAAGGAACACAUGCAGCGAUGACAGCCCACUGAUGGGUUGAACACGUUAGUACAGGAUGCUCUGGUUGAUCGCGAGAGAGGAAGAGAAGGAAUGAAGAAGGCACUGUGGGGAAAAGAGGGAGGCAGAGUGAGGGGAGAGGUAUAUGGGAAGCAAGGGAGG